UUGACAGACCGUGCGUAAGUGCCAAAUUUAGGCGUGACAAAAAUAUGAAAGGUGUGUGCGUGUGUAAUUGUGUGACGCCAACCGAGAUUCUGAUCUAACCAAACAAGUAUUUUAAUCGGUGAAGUGUCGUUAGUUUCUGUUUUGUUGUCUAUCUUUGCUCCUCAUAUUGGAGUCAUUUUUUGUGUCACUUAUUUUUUUGCUUGUACGCGAAGAGCUCUGCACUCACGGGCGGUUUUGAGGAAGUUUCGGGACACCUGUGACACUCCCCCUGUCAGCAUUUGGAUUGAUACUGUACUGGGCUUUGACUUUUACUGACGCUUGUUUCUUUUUCCUGCGUGAGAAAUUCUGUACGUUGUCCAGAUGAAAACGAAUUUGGGGCAUUAGUGCUGCCUGGAGUCACGUUGACCCGUAAUCAGUGUGUGCAACAGAUGAAAUGUUUGCUGGCAGAAGACGUCAUCUGUGAGGGAAUUUGCACCGUCUCAGCAUGGCAAAGACUGCCUGGCCCAAAGGCACAGUGUGUGUGGCAAGAUUCGGCUUUAAAGGCUCUUUAGAACAUCACCUCCCCUUUAACGAAGGAGAUCUGUUGACUAUCAUCGCGGUUACAGAGGAUCCAGAAUGGUGUAUAGCUAAAAAUGAAGCAGGUCGUGAAGGGGCGGUUCCCACCGGACGUAUUCAGAGAUUCUGUCACAAUGUGGCAGCUGUUGAAAAUGGCAGCGAGCUGAAUCUUAUGCCAUGGUUUCACGGCAAAAUAACCCGGCUCCAGGCCGAGCGCUUGCUCUCCCCACCAGAGAUGGGCCUCUUCUUGGUGAGAGAGAGCACCAACUAUCCAGGGGACUACACACUGUGUUUGAGCACCGACGACAAGGUGGAGCACUACCACAUAAAAUACGGCAAUGGCCAGCUUACCAUUGACCAGGAAGUGUACUUUGACAACCUGAUCCAGCUGGUGGAGCACUACAAAAGCAAAGCUGAUGGGCUCUGCACGAUUCUAAUCAAUCCAAAACUGGAGAAGGAGACGGUCGCUGUCCAAAAUGAAUUUUUGAGCGGUGGUUGGGUGAUGAACAGAAACGAACUCAAGUUACUGAAGAUCAUUGGCCGGGGAGAGUUUGGAGAGGUCUUGUUGGCUGAGUACAAAAAGACUCAAGUAGCCGUGAAGUGCCUUAAAAAUAAUACUACUGCGCAGGCCUUUAUUGCAGAGGCCUCUGUCAUGAUGAAAUUAAGCCACAAUAACUUGGUGAAGCUGCUUGGAGUGAUUUCAGAAGCGAACGGCAACUUGCUCAUUAUUACUGAAUACAUGAGAAAGGGGACCUUGGUGGACUACCUACGUUCCAGAGGACGGACAGUACUCACUCGUGUUUCUCUACUUAAUUUUGCAAUGCAUGUCUGUGAGGCCAUGGUAUAUUUGGAGACCAAUCACUUUGUCCACCGAGACCUUGCAGCCCGUAACGUCCUGUUAUCAGAGGAUCUCGUCGCUAAAGUCAGUGACUUUGGUUUGACCAAGAAGGUGUCUUCCCUUGAGGAUACGAACAAGCUGCCAGUCAAGUGGACAUCACCAGAGGCCCUCAAAGAAAAGAAAUUCUCCACCAAAUCAGAUGUUUGGAGCUUUGGGGUUUUGCUUUGGGAGAUUUACUCAUUUGGUCGAAUGCCUUACCCGAAAAUGCAGUCCAAAUUUGUGGUGCCUCAAUUGGAGAGCGGCUACCGGAUGCCUUCUCCCGACGGGUGUCCUGAAUCUCUCUAUAUCACCAUGAAGGACUGCUGGCACUUGAACCCUGAAUCUCGGCCAACUUUUAAAUUGUUGAAAGAGCGGCUGUUCGUCGUCAAAAAGGAGCUCCGACAAAUAGGCACGCAGCUCUGACAAGACCCAUGUACUGCGCCUUCUACUUUCAUCUUAUCAUUUGACAAUGUUCACAACAUUAUACCAGUUGAGACACAUCUCUUAAUCCCCAAUGAGCCUUGUUUAUUUUCUGAUUUGUGAAAUUUCAUCUGUUCAACACUUCCUGUGUUGCUGUCUGAAUGUUUGAGUCUGUUUUGUGCCACACGAUGCAAGUUGACCCACAAGACUGCUUUAUUAUAUCCUGAACGCACGAGCCGAAGAGUACAUGAAGCAGUGCAGCGCUCCGUGUGCACAGAACAAGUGAUGAAUCAGUGACAUGUUGCUCAUGCGUCAUUCAUGGACUGAUUCUGAAGCGCAGCGAAGCCUUUCAGGAUGAACGUCAACACGCUGUGGAGAUUUUCUUGGCUUUGGGACCUCGCAAAGAUGUUGGAGUUGCUGUACACAACACCGUUUAGGUUUUACCGUUGCUCUUCCUUCCUGCUUCCUGUGCACUCGGCAUCUGUGUGAUGUCAGCAGCAGGUUACAGAUAUAAUCUUGAAGCGACAAGAAAAAAGUUGCAGGACACAUCGCUUCACAUGUGAGGGCAUUUCUGCUGCCUUACCAUGGAAAAGGUGAAAAAUAUAUCUCUGCAGGAGCAUGCAAUGAUCCUGAAUGGUGUAUCGCUAAAAAUGAAGCAGGUUGUGAAGGGGCAGUUCCCACCUGGAAGAUUCAGAAAUGGCUUUGUAAUGUGGCAUCGGUGGAAAAAUGCAGCAAGCUGAAUCUUAUGCCAUGGUUUCAUGGCAAAAUAACCCGGCUCCAGGGCGAGCGCUUGCUCUCCCCACACACUGUGUUUGAGCACCGACGACAAGGUGGAAGCACUACCACAUUAAAUACGACAAUGGUCAGCUUACCAUUGACGGGG